rnacentral:rRNA from 1 species
UACGUAGGGCGCAAGCGUUAUCCGGAAUUAUUGGGCGUAAAGAGCUCGUAGGCGGUCUGUCGCGUCGGAUGUGAAAAUCAGGGCUCAACCCUGGACCUGCAUUCGAUACGGGCAGACUAGAGUUCGGCAGGGGAGACUGGAAUUCCUGGUGUAGCGGUGAAAUGCGCAGAUAUCAGGAGGAACACCGGUGGCGAAGGCGGGUCUCUGGGCCGAUACUGACGCUGAGGAGCGAAAGCAUGGGGAGCGAACAGG